UACAGAGGGUGCGAGCGUUGUCCGGAAUCACUGGGCGUAAAGGGCGCGUAGGUGGCCCGACAAGUCAAUGGUGAAAGUUCGACGCUUAACGUCGAAUCGGCCACUGAUACUGUUGGGCUGGAGCACUGUAGAGGCUCAUGGAAUUCCGGGUGUAGCGGUGGAAUGCGUAGAGAUCCGGAAGAACACCGGUGGCGAAGGCGGCUACUCUGGAACGCAAACUGACGCUGAGACGCGAAAGCGUGGGGAGCAAACAGG
rnacentral:rRNA from 1 species